GUCCAUGCCGUAAACGUUGUAUACUAGGUGCGGGAGGUAUCGACCCCUUCCGUGCCGAAGCUAACGCAUUAAGUAUACCGCCUGGGGAGUACGCGCGCAAGCGUGAAACUCAAAGGAAUUGACGGGGGCCCGGCACAAGCGGUGGAGCAUGUGGUUUAAUUCGAGGCAACGCGAAGACCUUACCCAGACUUGACAUCCCAGGACGCCCAUGAAAGUGGGUUUUCCCUUCGGGGACCUGGAGACAGGUGUUGCAUGGCUGUCGU
rnacentral:rRNA from 1 species